GUAGGGUGCGAGCGUUGUCCGGAAUUACUGGGCGUAAAGAGCUCGUAGGUGGUUUGUCGCGUUGUUCGUGAAAACUCACAGCUUAACUGUGGGCGUGCGGGCGAUACGGGCAGACUGGAGUACUGCAGGGGAGACUGGAAUUCCUGGUGUAGCGGUGGAAUGCGCAGAUAUCAGGAGGAACACCGGUGGCGAAGGCGGGUCUCUGGGCAGUAACUGACGCUGAGGAGCGAAAGCGUGGGGAGCGAAC
rnacentral:rRNA from 1 species